rnacentral:rRNA from 1 species
GGCAGCAGUGGGGAAUUUUGGACAAUGGGCGCAAGCCUGAUCCAGCCAUGCCGCGUGUCUGAAGAAGGCCUUCGGGUUGUAAAGGACUUUUGUCAGGGAAGAAAAGGCUGUUGCUAAUAUCAGCGGCUGAUGACGGUACCUGAAGAAUAAGCACCGGCUAACUACGUGCCAGCAGCCGCGGUAAUACGUAGGGUGCGAGCGUUAAUCGGAAUUACUGGGCGUAAAGCGGGCGCAGACGGUUACUUAAGCAGGAUGUGAAAUCCCCGGGCUCAACCCGGGAA